AAAUUGCACAGAAGCGUUGGAAAAAAGGAUUCUAUUGAGAAUUAUAUUCUAAUAAACAAACUAAUCGAAAUUCCAACAGAAACAAAAUUUAGUUUUUUCGACAACGGUGCACGUGAUUUACACAAUAAACAUAAGACCGUGAAAGGUUAUGUUUGCAAUCGAAUGACAAUGACAAGCAUUUGAAGUUUCAUGUAAAUGUCAAUACAAUAUGAAACAGUGUUCCAAAGGAAGAUUCAUUUUGAGAUAUUUUUUUACAAACAACAAAAAAGUGUUUAUUGAACUCAAGUUAAAAAAUAUAAAAUGAUCCCAUUGGAUUACUUUUUAGUCCUUUUGGAUUAAUCGUAGCUGAAAAUCUCAAAAUACUAAAUAUUAAUACCACCGAUAUAAGAGUUUUUACACCGGUUAGAAUAUACUUGCUAAUUGCCAAAGUUCCAACAAAAAUCGACUGCCAUUUUCAUUAUUUGGAUAUUCAAUCGGUAGAAAGCAAAGAUUCGACACAUUUUACGAUCAUUACAAAUGAUCGAACCUACUCAUUUGUUACAUCCGGAGAUGCUGGAAAUUUUAGUUCGGAUGCGGAUGUUAUUGUUACAGAUUUGGCCUCAGCAAUUAAACAAAUAUUUCCGACCGUUCCCUUGAAGUACAUCAUUCGAAAGGUAUACAUUUUUUUCGACAACUAU